GAUGAAGAACGUAGCGAAAUGCGAUAAGUAAUGUGAAUUGCAGAAUUCAGUGAAUCAUCGAAUCUUUGAACGCACAUUGCGCCCGCCAGUAGUCUGGCGGGCAUGCCUGUCCGAGCGUCAUUUCAACCCUCGAACCCCUCCGGGGGGUCGGCGUUGGGGAUCGGCCCUUUCACCGGGUGCCGGCCCCUAAAUACAGUGGCGGUCUCGCCGCAGCCUCUCAUGCGCAGUAGUUUGCACACUCGCACCGGGAGCGCGGCGCGUCCACGUCCGUAAAACACCCCAAACUUCUGAAAUGUUGACCUCGGAUCAGGUAGGAAUACCCGCUGAACUUAAGCAUAUCAAUAAGCGGAGGA
rnacentral:misc_RNA from 1 species